UGUUGAUGAUGAUAAUUCCAAAGGCUUGUUUCUCAGAACAUUCGCAGUGGCCGCCUAAGAGCUUUCGCCUUCGCCAGGCUUGAGAGCUAAUGCUGCUUUAUUCCUUCCUUGGAUGUCUGAAACC
rnacentral:snoRNA from 1 species